UUUGUAAAAUUUUUAUUUUGAUACUGAUGAAUGGAAUCACUUUGCCAAUCUCCUGGUAUAUAAAUACAAACAUAUAUAUAAGUUGGAGUUUAGAUUUCGAUUGAAGGCAGAAAAGUAAUUGUUAAUUACAUAUAUUCGAUGAUCAUGUGGUGGGAAAGUUUGUUUUUGCAUAAUAUGUUAUCAUCUCCAAACUAAGCGGCCUAUUUGGAAUGCAAGAUAUCGAUCGUCGUUGCGGUUGCAAACGAUGAUGUGACGGUUUCAUCAGAUGAUUAAGGGCUCUUCUUGAUUCAAGUCAGAAUACAUCAAAUAAUUCUUUGGUUACAUGAUUGACAAACGGGAACCGAAGCGUGCAUCAUCACCUACGUAAGACAACCGCUAGGCGGUUUUUUAUUGGAGUUUCCGAAUCUUCUCUUCUUUUGUGGCAGUCAUAUGAGACUGGGAUCAGUUGCAAACUGUACUUAGUGAGCAAUUCAUUUUUCUCACUUUCAUAUGAAAUGGCGAAUAUAGAAUAGAGACCAAAGAAAACACCGACGCCAAAAUUCGAGGGUGUGGUGACACAUAGGGAAACACGGUCGCCAAAAUUCGUGAAAUUUAAACUACGGAAGAGGAUUUGAAGUUUGAUUUGAUGAUGAGAUUGUCGUUGGCGAAAAUGGUAGGGGUGAAUCAAUAAAUGAUGCAAGUUAGAGACUCUUUGUUUACCUCUUAAUGAGACUCUUAAUGGUUUAGACCUCUUACUGGU
rnacentral:lncRNA from 1 species